rnacentral:rRNA from 1 species
AACGCGAAGAACCUUACCAGGCCUUGACAUGGGUAGUAUGGAUUCCAUAAACGGAAUUCUUCAGUUUGGCUGGCUACCACACAGGUGCUGCAUGGCUGUCGUCAGCUCGUGUCGUGAGAUGUUGGGUUAAGUCCCGCAACGAGCGCAACCCUCAUCCUUAGUUGCCAACAGGUAAUGCUGGGAACUCUAAGGAAACUGCCGGUGAUAAGCCGGAGGAAGGUGGGGAUGACGUCAAGUCUUCAUGGCCCUUACGGCCUGGGCUACACACGUGCUACAAUGGCGGUGACAAUGGGGUGCUAACCCGCAAGGGCAUGCAAAUCCCAAAAAGCCGUCUUAGUUCGGAUUGCACUCUGCAACUCGAGUGCAUGAAGCUGGAAUCGCUAGUAAUCGUAGAUCAGCAUGCUACGGUGAAUACGUUCCCGGGCCUUGUACACACCGGAGUA